GCGUUGUCGGGACAGGACCCCUGGGGACAAGGUCCUUCAAAGCUGGAAUCUCCGUCUUCCCCGCAGCGGGCAGAUUUGUCACCAGCUUGGAGAAUGGAAGCCGCUUCCCCCAAGAAGACGCAGCUGCUGACUGGAGAGCUGGCGCUCCUGAUCCACUACCAAAUUCAGCACCCUGCAAGCCAUCAUCAUCUCUCCCUUGGAUGUCUGCACCAGGCUCUAAACUGCCAUACUCCAUCUCUGUCUCCC